rnacentral:rRNA from 1 species
UACGUAGGGUGCAAGCGUUGUCCGGAAUUAUUGGGCGUAAAGAGCGUGUAGGCGGCUUUACAGGUCCGCUGUGAAAACUCGAGGCUCAACCUCGAGCUGUCGGUGGAAACCGUAAAGCUAGAGUCCGGAAGAGGAGAGUGGAAUUCCCGGUGUAGCGGUGAAAUGCGCAGAUAUCGGGAGGAACACCAGAGGCGAAGGCGGCUCACUGGACAGUCACUGACACUCAACUGCGAAAGCGUGGGGAGCAAACAGG